AAACACCGCGUGCGAUGGCAAGACCCAGACGAGACUACAGGGUACAAGCUCGAGUUUGACGGAAUCCCUGUUGAAAUUACUGGAAUGAAAAUCCUAGAUUGCCAGAACGGACCAGAUAAAAAUAAAGCGAAGAAGAAAAAAGAAGCUUUAAGGAAGACCGAAAAAACCGUAAGCAAUACACCAGUGUGUUAAUUUAUAAUUAAAUAUAGUGGCACCACGUAAUAAGGGGCGGAUCAUUAGAAAUCCCGGGGGGGGGGGGUAUAAAAUUUUUGCGGCAC